rnacentral:rRNA from 1 species
UACGUAGGGACCAAGCGUUGUUCGGAUUUACUGGGCGUAAAGGGAGCGUAGGCGGCAAUUCAAGUCAGUUGUGAAAUCUCCGAGCUUAACUCGGAACGGUCAACUGAUACUGCUUUGCUAGAGUACAGAAGGGGCAAUCGGAAUUCUUGGUGUAGCGGUGAAAUGCGUAGAUAUCAAGAGGAACACCUGAGGUGAAGACGGGUUGCUGGGCUGAUACUGACGCUGAGGCUCGAAAGCUAGGGUAGCAAACGGG